UACGGAGAGUGCAAGCGUUGUUCGGAAUUAUUGGGCGUAAAGGGCGUCUAGGUGGCACGGCAAGUCAGAUGUGAAAUCCCUCGGCUCAACCGAGGAACUGCAUUUGAAACUGCCGAGCUCGAGUGCUGCAGGGGCCAGCGGAAUUCCCAGUGUAGGGGUGAAAUCCGUAGAUAUUGGGAGGAACACCAGUGGCGAAGGCGGCUGGCUGGGCAGACACUGACACUGAAGCGCGAAAGCGUGGGGAGCAAACAGG
rnacentral:rRNA from 1 species